CCUACGGGUGGCAGCAGUAGGGAAUAUUGCUCAAUGGGGGAAACCCUGAAGCAGCAACGCCGCGUGGAGGAUGAAGGUUUUCGGAUUGUAAACUCCUGUUGUUAGAGAAGAUAAUGACGGUAUCUAACGAAUAAGCACCGGCUAACUCCGUGCCAGCAGCCGCGGGAAUACGGAGGGUGCAAGCGUUACGCGGAAUCACUGGGCGUAAAGGGCGCGGAGGCGGGUGAGCAAGUCAGAUGUGAAAUCCUAUGGCGUAACCAUAGGAUUGCAUUUGAAACUGUUCUUCUAGAGUAUGGGAGAGGUAGGUGGAAUUCUUGGUGUAGGGGUAAAAUCCGUAGAGAUCAAGAGGAAUACUCAUUGCGAAGGCGACCUGCUAGACCAUAACUGACGCUGAUGCGCGAAAGCGUGGGGAGCAAACAGGAUUAGAUACCCGAGUAGUC
rnacentral:rRNA from 1 species